CGCUUUUGGGGCUUCUUUGAAGAUAAAUUUAACUUCUUCUUAUCUGCGCUUCGUGCACUCAGGAAAAUGUUAACACCGGGGAGGGCGGCUGGGAAAGGUUGGGGGCUGUUUUUAAGCUCCAGCCUGUUCCAUUUUGGGUUUGGCCCAGCAGCAUCCAUCCCUCCGGGGGCAGGUCCACGAGGUAGCAGGCGCAGGGCACUGCCGGACUCACGGGAUGUCUUAUUCCCCAUCUCAGCUCUGGGGGGUGGCCCCGUGGGGCACUAAUCGAACAUCCCCCACCCCUGCAUCCUCUGAUAGCACCAGGAGCGCACCCCUGGCCCCGCAGCUGGGGCUAAUGAGCGCCAGGCUCAUUAGUGACCCACGUGCUCACGGCACAGGGCGGCUGAGUUUGGCGCCGGCGGUUAUUAGUGCGUUGCCAGCCUGGGGUGGGGGGGACCCCAGCGGUGUGAGGGGGGCUUCACGGUGUGUUUUGCUGGGAUCUUGCACUUGCCUUCCCGUGCAAAUUGAUCCCGAAGCUGCGAGGCUGCCUCUGCCCACGGGGUCUCUGCCCUCACCAGGGGGCUUGUGCCACACAGAAGUGCCCCAGCGCCUCCGUGGGGAGAUAUCCCACUGCAAUGCCCCAGGGUCAGCCAGCAGCACUGCUGGGCAGAGGAUGCAAACACUUUUUUGUGUCUUUGAUUUCUAUUUUUAUUAUUUAUUAUUAUAUUUUUAUUGCACACUUUCUUCCACUGGGAAUUUCAGGCUGAAUGGUGGAAGGCUUUAUUGGCGGAGGGAUGUUCUCCAGCAAGGAGGGGACAAGGAGAAGAGGGCUAGGUGCGUGCAGGGAAUAUUUCCCCCUCGCUGCUUGGUCUCUAGGACAAGACAGACGUGGCCGUGGGGAGCAGGAGCUGCAGAAAGCCCGGGGCAGGCAGGCACAGGGGGCUGCUCGCGGGGCGCAUCCUUCCCACAGCCCCGCAGCCCGGGGAGCCGCGGGACUGCGCGGAGCCGGGCCGGCUGCGUGUCACUGCAAAGGCCACUUCCCCCCGCUCGGCGGGACGGUGGCGUGGUGACCCGUGACCUCGGUGUCAGCAGGUAUUAACGAGCUCCUCAUGCCUGGUGGGGAGCGAGAAGCCAGCCCUGGAGGAGCU
rnacentral:lncRNA from 1 species